rnacentral:rRNA from 1 species
UACACUCCUACGGGAGGCAGCAGUGGGGAAUCUUGCGCAAUGGGCGAAAGCCUGACGCAGCCAUGCCGCGUGAAUGAUGAAGGUCUUAGGAUUGUAAAAUUCUUUCACCGGGGACGAUAAUGACGGUACCCGGAGAAGAAGCCCCGGCUAACUUCGUGCCAGCAGCCGCGGUAAUACGAAGGGGGCUAGCGUUGCUCGGAAUUACUGGGCGUAAAGGGAGCGUAGGCGGACAUUUAAGUCAGGGGUGAAAUCCCGGGGCUCAACCUCGGAAUUGCCUUUGAUACUGGGUGUCUUGAGUAUGAGAGAGGUGUGUGGAACUCCGAGUGUAGAGGUGAAAUUCGUAGAUAUUCGGAAGAACACCAGUGGCGAAGGCGACACACUGGCUCAUUACUGACGCUGAGGCUCGAAAGCGUGGGGAGCAAACAGGAUUAGAAACCCUGGUAGUCCC